GACAAAACAUGCAGUGCUUCACCAGCCUCCUCAUGACUUUGCUACCCCUCCGGUCUUGUUUGGAAAGAUUGGCAAAUGCUUUGUAUUUUAAAAUCAUUUUGUGGUUAAAUUUGUUGGCAUGGGUUUGUCUUUGGUUCCACAUUUAUUUGUAAGAAAUUCCACCGGUUGUUGGUGGUGGCAUAAAUUGUAUAGUUAUUUAGGUUGAUAUUAGUUAAGGCAGUGUGGGGGUCGGGGCAUUUGUGUUUUUUCCGGAAUCACCAAAUUCUUUGUUAGUUAUUACUGUUUGUUUUGGGUCCUGUUCUUUGUAGUAGAAAGUGUGAACUAAGACCCUACCCCCUCAUUGAUAUUCAAUUGUUAUGACUAUUGAAAAUAAUAUUAGUUCAAUUUGGUUAGCUUCUCCAUCUCCUUGGUAACAGGUACUGAGACAGUGUGUACCUGCUUAAGAGGAUUUUGCUGCACAUUACAGGGGAAAGUUUUCUCUAAGAGCUAUUGCAAUGCAAUGCAUGGCGUUGGGAACCCACUACCCCAGCCUAUCCUUCAUCAACUUGGUCAAAAAACUCCUCACUGGUAUCUGACAUGUUUCUUAGACAUCCAAGGCUUUAAAUUUAUUGGUUUUUAUUAUAUGGGGAAGAGGGGCGGGGACCCAACAGCAUUAUAGCAGCCAUUGGAGCAAUUUGGUUGAACAUCUUGAGCUACUCUUAACAUCUGAUAUCUAAAGAUACGAUUCGAGUUUGAAACUUGAAAUGUCCUGUAUUUUUUGUUCUUUUCAGCAGCCUUGAUAUAUGUCAUACAGUAAGAGUUAUUUGAAAGUCGAGAGUA